CUGUACGCAGCUUACCAUGCAAGUCGAGCGGUAACAGAGAGUAGCUUGCUACUUUGCUGACGAGCGGCGGACGGGUGAGUAAUGCUUGGGAAUAUGCCUUAUGGUGGGGGACAACAGUUGGAAACGACUGCUAAUACCGCAUAACGUCUACGGACCAAAGGGGGGGAUCUUCGGACCUCUCGCCAUUUGAUUAGCCCAAGUGAGAUUAGCUAGUUGGUAAGGUAAAGGCUUACCAAGGCGACGAUCUCUAGCUGGUUUGAGAGGAUGAUCAGCCACACUGGGACUGAGACACGGCCCAGACUCCUACGGGAGGCAGCAGUGGGGAAUAUUGCACAAUGGGCGAAAGCCUGAUGCAGCCAUGCCGCGUGUGUGAAGAAGGCCUUCGGGUUGUAAAGCACUUUCAGUUGUGAGGAAAGGGGUGUAGUUAAUAGCUGCAUCCUGUGACGUUAGCAACAGAAGAAGCACCGGCUAACUUCGUGCCAGCAGCCGCGGUAAC
rnacentral:rRNA from 1 species